rnacentral:lncRNA from 1 species
CUCUGAGAUACCACCUCAGGGACAGAAGUGCUUGCUCAUGAAGCCCAGGGUCUGGUGGAAAUGUUCUUUGAGACCUUGUCAUUUGUUUGAAUGGUGAGCAUUCCAAGAUGAGAUGUAGAGGCCCCUGUUUUUCCUUGCCCCCAAACCUGUUCUUCGUACAGGAUGAGAGAGUCCCUCCUGCCCUCAGCCCCCCCCCCCACACACUUCCCUUUGGGGGAAGCCCUUCUCUAUCUCCUAGUUCCUGUCAUUUUGACAGUGCUCAGUGCAAGCCUGGCCGCUGAUUGCACUUUUUCCCGAGUUCAUCCAAGUUCAUACGAGGAAAAGCUGUCUGCAAGAGCAGCAGAUUUCCAUGGAUUCCAGGAUUCAGAAUUCCGUGGAUUGCCAGCAGAUCUCAGAUGGGGCCACACCAGCACUUCGACUGCACACAGCACAACUGAGCCCAGGAUUGGUGGGCAUCUCCAGAUCUCUAGUUGCCUCUUAACCCAGAAAGCACAAAUUCGGAGUGCCAUUACAGAUGAUGUGUCUUCAAAUAAAAUACUCAGAUUUAAUCAGUGUAUGUAAAAAAAAAAAAAAAAAAUCUGAUAAGAUUCUUAAAAGCACAUAUAUCUCAGGUCUUACCCAAACCUUAGGCAACAUACCCUUUUACAGGUUGAGCCCAGGGAUUUUUCUGAUAAAUUUUCCAAUGUGUUGGUGAUCUUCACAUCUGAUUAAGAUUAUCUGGCAUAUUCUCUUGGUACAUGUGGCUCAGCAAAGCAAAAAGAGGUCCACUUUACUCUGGGACCAG